GACGAACGCUGGCGGCGUGCUUAACACAUGCAAGUCGAACGGAAAGGCCCUGCUUUUGUGGGGUGCUCGAGUGGCGAACGGGUGAGAAACACGUGAGUAACCUGCCCUUGACUUUGGGAUAACUUCAGGAAACUGGGGCUAAUACCGGAUAGGAGCUCCUGCUGCAUGGUGGGGGUUGGAAAGUUUCGGCGGUUGGGGAUGGACUCGCGGCUUAUCAGCUUGGUGGUGGGGUAGUGGCUUACCAAGGCUUUGACGGGUAGCCGGCCUGAGAGGGUGACCGGCCACAUUGGGACUGAGAUACGGCCCAGACUCCUACGGGAGGCAGCAGUGGGGAAUAUUGCACAAUGGGCGGAAGCCUGAUGCAGCAACGCCGCGUGCGGGAUGACGGCCUUCGGGUUGUAAACCGCUUUCGCCUGUGACGAAGCGUGAGUGACGGUAAUGGGUAAAGAAGCACCGGCUAACUACGUG
rnacentral:rRNA from 1 species